AGAUUGGAAGCACAUGGCUUCAAAAGAUGGUAUGCACAGGCAGACCGAGGUCCUGAGAGACAGAGAUUAAAGAGAAGUGCCAGAAAUGUUGGAAUCUUUGCACAGUUUUGCAGAAGCCCUUUGGCUUGGUUUAGUUGCACCUGGCAGUAUUCCAAGUGGACCAAACUCUCUGAGGGCACAUUCAAAUAUGUGGUGUCAUCUGUGGUAUUUGCCUUGGCAGGAGAAAGUGUAGGAACUGUACACCAAGCAGGAGUAGGAACCACACCAAAACAAAGUAGUUUGAGGUAAGAACAUAAGCAGGCCCGAAUAAGCAAAUUUGGAACACAAUUCCAUGCACAAACAACACAAACUAGGCUACUACAAGUGUACAAAAUCACAUAUAGUGCAUUACUGCUUUAGGCAAAUAACAAAAGCAACACUGAGUAAUACAUAAUGAAAUAUAAUUGCAGAGCUUUUUCAGUGUUCCACUCUACAUUUAUAAAGAACUUCACUGUCCCCUCUUGCCAGUUUUCACAUGUGUUUAUCAUUUAAACAAAAAAAUAAACUUUAUUUGUAAAAAUUGUUCUCAGAGCUACCACAGAAAAUCUAUUGAUUCUCAAAGUGAUUAAAGCAUCCCUCCAUACCCCACAUCUGAUGCAGAACCAAGAUCGUCCUGCACUUGACCCUGGUACAGUAUGUGAUCAUCCAACCCCCCUGCAAGGGAGGGUAUAUCCUGUGUCAUCGGCUGAGAUGCUCAAUGACCAUCUUGAAUGUUGCAUGAUGUGUUUUUAUGGCUGACUCCCAAAUGACUUUAUCGUCCCUACUUCCCACUUCUGCCACCAGGGGGUUCCGUACAGACAGCUCUGUGUCCCCAUCACCUGACAUCAACACACAUGGAAUCGCCUCUCCCUGCAGAGCCAUCAUAGCAUCACUGCUGCCUUAAUGCUGACCUGAUCCAGUUGGUCAAUUCGCCCCCCAGCAACUGCUCAGAAACAGCUGACCAGAAGGUUCUGGGUAGACAAGGCCUAAUUAUGGCAAGUGCUGCUUACUCAUCUAAUUAACUGACCAAUCAGAUAUUUACAGGACACAUUUUCACAUUACAGGAAAAGUCAAUAUGCAUUUACCCGCCCUUGUCUGGGUAGAGCACGCAGAAUGUGUGCCCAUUGAUUUAGCUAACCACUUCCAUCAGGUUGGUCACUACACCACAUUAAGAUCAAUCUUGUAUGCGUGAUGUAUUUUGCUGUAGCAAGAAAAACAUCAGUUAGUUGUUAUGCCAGACAUUUUGUCUAAUUAAAUGACUCUCCUGACAAAAAAAACAUUAUACAUGUAACCAGAGUCUGUAAACACAACUAUUUAGUUGG